CAUGUGGACUUGCACCAGAUGCAGAUGCUUUUGUCGACUCUGUGGAUGCAAAGUUUAUUGGCAGUGAUCACCGUGUGCUCACGUGGCGGAGUCUAUUGGGGUUUGUGAUCGCAUCUCCCCGUGCAGAUGUAGCCACCUCUUGUUCUGACAGGCCCCAAUUCACAUGGAGCUGUUCUGCGAUGCCAACGAUUGCCACUAGAUGGAGCAUGUGUUCUUUCCAAAUCAAAGCACUCCACUUCUGUGUUUUACGUUUCUUUUGCCAUUCCUGGAAAAAUUGUAAACAGUUGUAUAAGAAACCUGAGUUGAAAAUAAUAAAGGAUAAACUUAAUUUUAAUAUUCCA